CCCCCGCGGUCGCCCCUCACGUGAUGGUGUUAAAGGGGACAGUGGGGAGGGUAUAAAGUGGGAAGUGAAGAACGACGGAGGCCGGUUGGCCCGCCUGCGCCGGAAGUGAAACAGACUGCCAGCACUGUGGACUCAGCCAAUGAGCAGAAAUGUGUGUUGUAGUGAUCUGGGCCGGGAGGUGGCGCAGUGGAUAAAGCAUCGGACUCUCAGGCAUGAGGUCCUGAGUUCAAUCCCAGGCAGCACAUGUACCAGAGUGAUGUCUGGUUCUUUUUCUCUCUCCUCCUAUUUUCCUCAUAAAUAAAUAAAUAAAUAAAUCCUUUAAAAAAUAAA